GACGAACGCUGGCGGCGUGCUUAACACAUGCAAGUGGAGCGACGAACCAGGGCUUGCCCUGGGGCAAAGCCGCGAACGGGUGAGUAACACGUGGGUAGCCUGCCCCGAUGACCGGGACAACCCGAGGAAACUCGGGCUAAUACCGGAUGUGCUCCCGAGCCAAAAGGCCCGCGAGGAAAGAUAGCGUCGGCCUUCGCAUCGGGAUGGGACCGCGGCCCAUUAGCUUGUUGGUGAGGUAACGGCUCACCAAGGCCGCGAUGGGUAGCUGGUCUGAGAGGACGAUCAGCCACACUGGGACUGAGACACGGCCCAGACUCCUACGGGAGGCAGCAGUGGGGAAUCUUGCGCAAUGCGCGACAGCGUGACGCAGCAACGCCGCGUGGGGGAAGAAGGCCUUCGGGUUGUAAACCCCUUUCAGUUGGGACGAAGGUUCGGCCGUUAAUAGCGGUCCGGACUGACGGUACCUUCAGAAGAAGCCCCGGCUAACUACGUGCCAGCCGCCGCGGUAACAC
rnacentral:rRNA from 1 species